GCUUAACACAUGCAAGUCGAGGGGCAGCAUGGUCUUUGCUUGCUAAGGCCGAUGGCGACCGGCGCACGGGUGAGUAACACGUAUCCAACCUGCCGUCUACUCUUGGACAGCCUUCUGAAAGGAAGAUUAAUACAAGAUGGCAUCAUGAGUCCGCAUGUUCACAUGAUUAAAGGUAUUCCGGUAGACGAUGGGGAUGCGUUCCAUUAGAUAGUAGGCGGGGUAACGGCCCACCUAGUCUUCGAUGGAUAGGGGUUCUGAGAGGAAGGUCCCCCACAUUGGAACUGAGACACGGUCCAAACUCCUACGGGAGGCAGCAGUGAGGAAUAUUGGUCAAUGGGCGAGAGCCUGAACCAGCCAAGUAGCGUGAAGGAUGACUGCCCUAUGGGUUGUAAACUUCUUUUAUAAAGGAAUAAAGUCGGGUAUGGAUACCCGUUUGCAUGUACUUUAUGAAUAAGGAUCGGCUAACUCCGUGCCAGCAGCCGCGGUAAUACGGAGGAUCCGAGCGUUAUCCGGAUUUAUUGGGUUUAAAGGGAGCGUAGAUGGAUGUUUAAGUCAGUUGUGAAAGUUUGCGGCUCAACCGUAAAAUUGCAGUUGAUACUGGAUAUCUUGAGUGCAGUUGAGGCAGGCGGAAUUCGUGGUGUAGCGGUGAAAUGCUUAGAUAUCACGAAGAACUCCGAUUGCGAAGGCAGCCUGCUAAGCUGCAACUGACAUUGAGGCUCGAAAGUGUGGGUAUCAAACAGGAUUAGAUACCCUGGUAGUCCACACGGUAAACGAUGAAUACUCGCUGUUUGCGAUAUACUGCAAGCGGCCAAGCGAAAGCGUUAAGUAUUCCACCUGGGGAGUACGCCGGCAACGGUGAAACUCAAAGGAAUUGACGGGGGCCCGCACAAGCGGAGGAACAUGUGGUUUAAUUCGAUGAUACGCGAGGAACCUUACCCGGGCUUAAAUUGCAGAUGAAUUACGGUGAAAGCCGUAAGCCGCAAGGCAUCUGUGAAGGUGCUGCAUGGUUGUCGUCAGCUCGUGCCGUGAGGUGUCGGCUUAAGUGCCAUAACGAGCGCAACCCUUGUUGUCAGUUACUAACAGGUUCCGCUGAGGACUCUGACAAGACUGCCAUCGUAAGAUGUGAGGAAGGUGGGGAUGACGUCAAAUCAGCACGGCCCUUACGUCCGGGGCUACACACGUGUUACAAUGGGGGGUACAGAGGGCCGCUACCACGCGAGUGGAUGCCAAUCCCCAAAACCUCUCUCAGUUCGGACUGGAGUCUGCAACCCGACUCCACGAAGCUGGAUUCGCUAGUAAUCGCGCAUCAGCCACGGCGCGGUGAAUACGUUCCCGGGCCUUGUACGCACCGCCCGUCAAGCCAUGGGAGCCGGGGGUACCUGAAGUGCGUAACCGCGAGGAGCGCCCUAGGGUAAAACUGGUGACUGGGGC
rnacentral:rRNA from 1 species